rnacentral:misc_RNA from 1 species
UUAACUAUUUUAUAGUACUCAGACGACACUGUAUAAUUCAGAGUUUUGGGUUCUCUGGCGGGCACUCACCAGCCGAAGCCGGUAGCCGAAGCGGCCCGCCAAAGCAACAAAGGUUUAUAUAUUCAAGGGUGGGAGAUCUACCCGUUAGGGCAUGAACUCAGUAAUGAUCCUUCCGCAGGUUCACCUACGGAAA